CCCCCUCUUUCUAUCUACAUAUAUAUCUAUCUAUAUUUUCUAAUAUUUUAUAGAAAUGCUGUCAUAUAUAUAAGUGAGUGCAGCAGUGCCUCUUAACAUAGACUUACAAAAAGCCAUAUCCAAAAGUGGAGCUGUUGGUGAGGAGUAUGAAGUUGAAAUCCAACAAAUGGCAUUAACUUUGCAAGUAUCGAAAGUGGAGUAUUG
rnacentral:lncRNA from 1 species